rnacentral:rRNA from 1 species
GACGUAGGAGGCGAGCGUUGUCCGGAUUCAUUGGGCGUAAAGAGCACGCAGGCGGUUCGGCAAGUCGGACGUGAAAAUCCGGGGCUCAACCCCGGACCUGCAUCCGAAACUGCCCGACUAGAGGUAGGUAGGGGAGAUCGGAAUUCCUGGUGUAGCGGUGAAAUGCGCAGAUAUCAGGAGGAACACCGGUGGCGAAGGCGGAUCUCUGGGCCUUACCUGACGCUCAGGUGCGAAAGCUAGGGGAGCGAACAGG